UUAAGUUAUUAAGGGCGCACGGUGGAUGCCUUGGCACUAGAAGCCGAUGAAGGACGUUACUAACGACGAUAUGCUUUGGGGAGCUGUAAGUAAGCUUUGAUCCAGAGAUUUCCGAAUGGGGAAACCCAGCAUGAGUUAUGUCAUGUUAUCGAUAUGUGAAUACAUAGCAUAUCAGAAGGCACACCCGGAGAACUGAAACAUCUUAGUACCCGGAGGAAGAGAAAGAAAAUUCGAUUCCCUUAGUAGCGGCGAGCGAAACGGGAAGAGCCCAAACCAACAAGCUUGCUUGUUGGGGUUGUAGGACACUCUAUACGGAGUUACAAAGGACGACAUUAGACGAAUCAUCUGGAAAGAUGAAUCAAAGAAGGUAAUAAUCCUGUAGUCGAAAAUGUUGUCUCUCUUGAGUGGAUCCUGAGUACGACGGAGCACGUGAAAUUCCGUCGGAAUCUGGGAGGACCAUCUCCUAAGGCUAAAUACUCUCUAGUGACCGAUAGUGAACCAGUACCGUGAGGGAAAGGUGAAAAGCACCCCGGAAGGGGAGUGAAAUAGAACCUGAAACCGUGUGCUUACAAGUAGUCAGAGCCCGUUAAUGGGUGAUGGCGUGCCUUUUGUAGAAUGAACCGGCGAGUUACGAUUUGAUGCAAGGUUAAGCAGUAAAUGUGGAGCCGUAGCGAAAGCGAGUCUGAAUAGGGCGUUUAGUAUUUGGUCGUAGACCCGAAACCAGGUGAUCUACCCUUGGUCAGGUUGAAGUUCAGGUAACACUGAAUGGAGGACCGAACCGACUUACGUUGAAAAGUGAGCGGAUGAACUGAGGGUAGCGGAGAAAUUCCAAUCGAACCUGGAGAUAGCUGGUUCUCUCCGAAAUAGCUUUAGGGCUAGCCUCAAGUGAUGAUUAUUGGAGGUAGAGCACUGUUUGGACGAGGGGCCCCUCUCGGGUUACCGAAUUCAGACAAACUCCGAAUGCCAAUUAAUUUAACUUGGGAGUCAGAACAUGGGUGAUAAGGUCCGUGUUCGAAAGGGAAACAGCCCAGACCACCAGCUAAGGUCCCAAAAUAUAUGUUAAGUGGAAAAGGAUGUGGCGUUGCCCAGACAACUAGGAUGUUGGCUUAGAAGCAGCCAUCAUUUAAAGAGUGCGUAAUAGCUCACUAGUCGAGUGACACUGCGCCGAAAAUGUACCGGGGCUAAACAUAUUACCGAAGCUGUGGAUUGUCCUUUGGACAAUGGUAGGAGAGCGUUCUAAGGGCGUUGAAGCAUGAUCGUAAGGACAUGUGGAGCGCUUAGAAGUGAGAAUGCCGGUGUGAGUAGCGAAAGACGGGUGAGAAUCCCGUCCACCGAUUGACUAAGGUUUCCAGAGGAAGGCUCGUCCGCUCUGGGUUAGUCGGGUCCUAAGCUGAGGCCGACAGGCGUAGGCGAUGGAUAACAGGUUGAUAUUCCUGUACCACCUAUAAUCGUUUUAAUCGAUGGGGGGACGCAGUAGGAUAGGCGAAGCGUGCGAUUGGAUUGCACGUCUAAGCAGUAAGGCUGAGUAUUAGGCAAAUCCGGUACUCGUUAAGGCUGAGCUGUGAUGGGGAGAAGACAUUGUGUCUUCGAGUCGUUGAUUUCACACUGCCGAGAAAAGCCUCUAGAUAGAAAAUAGGUGCCCGUACCGCAAACCGACACAGGUAGUCAAGAUGAGAAUUCUAAGGUGAGCGAGCGAACUCUCGUUAAGGAACUCGGCAAAAUGACCCCGUAACUUCGGGAGAAGGGGUGCUCUUUAGGGUUAACGCCCAGAAGAGCCGCAGUGAAUAGGCCCAAGCGACUGUUUAUCAAAAACACAGGUCUCUGCUAAACCGUAAGGUGAUGUAUAGGGGCUGACGCCUGCCCGGUGCUGGAAGGUUAAGGGGAGUGGUUAGCUUCUGCGAAGCUACGAAUCGAAGCCCCAGUAAACGGCGGCCGUAACUAUAACGGUCCUAAGGUAGCGAAAUUCCUUGUCGGGUAAGUUCCGACCCGCACGAAAGGCGUAACGAUUUGGGCACUGUCUCAACGAGAGACUCGGUGAAAUCAUAGUACCUGUGAAGAUGCAGGUUACCCGCGACAGGACGGAAAGACCCCGUGGAGCUUUACUGUAGCCUGAUAUUGAAAUUCGGCACAGCUUGUACAGGAUAGGUAGGAGCCUUUGAAACGUGAGCGCUAGCUUACGUGGAGGCGCUGGUGGGAUACUACCCUAGCUGUGUUGGCUUUCUAACCCGCACCACUUAUCGUGGUGGGAGACAGUGUCAGGCGGGCAGUUUGACUGGGGCGGUCGCCUCCUAAAAGGUAACGGAGGCGCUCAAAGGUUCCCUCAGAAUGGUUGGAAAUCAUUCAUAGAGUGUAAAGGCAUAAGGGAGCUUGACUGCGAGACCUACAAGUCGAGCAGGGUCGAAAGACGGACUUAGUGAUCCGGUGGUUCCGCAUGGAAGGGCCAUCGCUCAACGGAUAAAAGCUACCCCGGGGAUAACAGGCUUAUCUCCCCCAAGAGUUCACAUCGACGGGGAGGUUUGGCACCUCGAUGUCGGCUCAUCGCAUCCUGGGGCUGUAGUCGGUCCCAAGGGUUGGGCUGUUCGCCCAUUAAAGCGGUACGCGAGCUGGGUUCAGAACGUCGUGAGACAGUUCGGUCCCUAUCCGUCGUGGGCGUAGGAAAUUUGAGAGGAGCUGUCCUUAGUACGAGAGGACCGGGAUGGACAUACCUCUGGUGUACCAGUUGUCGUGCCAACGGCAUAGCUGGGUAGCUAUGUGUGGACGGGAUAAGUGCUGAAAGCAUCUAAGCAUGAAGCCCCCCUCAAGAUGAGAUUUCCCAACUUCGGUUAUAAGAUCCCUCAAAGAUGAUGAGGUUAAUAGGUUCGAGGUGGAAGCAUGGUGACAUGUGGAGCUGACGAAUACUAAUCGAUCGAAGACUUAAUCAA
rnacentral:rRNA from 1 species